GCUAAUACCGGAUAACAACACUAGACGCAUGUCUAGAGUUUAAAAGAUGGUUCUGCUAUCACUCUUGGAUGGACCUGCGGUGCAUUAGCUAGUUGGUAAGGCAACGGCUUACCAAGGCAAUGAUGCAUAGCCGAGUUGAGAGACUGAUCGGCCACAUUGGGACUGAGACACGGCCCAAACUCCUACGGGAGGCAGCAGAC
rnacentral:rRNA from 1 species